GACGAACGCUGGCGGCGUGCUUAACACAUGCAAGUCGAACGAUGAACCAGGGCUUGCCCUGGGAAUUAGUGGCGAACGGGUGAGUAACACGUGGGCAACCUGCCCCUGACACCGGGAUAACCAUUCGAAAGGAUGGCUAAUACCGGAUACGACCACUCCAGGCAUCUGGCGGUGGUGGAAAGGAUUCUGGUCAGGGAUGGGCCCGCGGCCUAUCAGCUAGUUGGUGGGGUAACGGCCUACCAAGGCGACGACGGGUAACCGGCCUGAGAGGGCGAACGGUCACACUGGGACUGGGACACGGCCCAGAGUCCUACGGGAGGCAGCAGUGGGGAAUAGUGCGCGAUGGGCGAAAGCCUGACGCAGCGACGCCGCGUGAGGGACGACGGUCUUCGGAUUGUAAACCUCUUUCAGCAGGGAUGAAGCCGCAAGGUGACAGUACCUGCAGAAGAAGCACCGGCUAACUACGUGCCAGCCGCCGCAGUAA
rnacentral:rRNA from 1 species